CUGCCAUUCUUCCCCUCCCCCACCCCAUGUGCUCGGGAGCCAGGAUUUCAAUGUCCCCGAUGGCACCAACUCGCAGGAGAGAGACUCCUCUCUACUCCUGGCUGGUUUUCUGAACACAAAGAACAAAGUACAAGCUCUCAGGUCUCACAAAGUGGAAGUGAGAACAGGCCAGCUUCUCUGCGCGGCAGGAACAGCCUGCCAUAAAGAGACCUGCCCCGGCACACGCUUCCAACUUGAAAAGGGUGUGGCGAAGUCUAAACACCUACUGGGGCCAAACAGGGAGGAUGAAAACACAAGACCAGCGUGGGAGCAUCUUUGAGAACCCUCGUCCAGGCUGCAGCCAGCCGACGUCUUGUAUCUCCACUGGGUAGAAAAAAAGCAAAUGAGUUCUCUUGGCCUCCUCCUCCCGCCCCUCCUCCUCUCCUUCAUUGUCUUCUUGAGAUAGAAUCUUCUGUAGCCCAGGCUUGCCUCAAACACACUAUGUAACCGAGUAUGGUGUUGAAUUCCUGGUGCUUUUGCCUCUACCUCUCCAAAUGCUGGGAUUGCAGGCAGGGGUCAACAUGACAGUCUGUCUUAUAAAAGAGUGCAUUUUCAUACCCUUUCAGGAGACCCCACUCCCAUGACCUACUGCCUCCCAAAGGCCCUACCUACCAGCACACAGGAGAUUAGAUUUUGACCUGUAAGCUUGGGUCAAAGUCCAGAACCUGUAAUAAUCAGUGCUAUACAAACAUCACUAUUCUUAUGGUGAUGGUAAUCUUGAUUAAACUUGAUUAAAACAACCCCAGAGCAGGAGGGGUGUGGUGACAGUUGUCUGUGAUCCUAGCACUCUGGGGACACAAGAUUGAGGCCAGCCUGCCCUACACGGCUAAACCCUAUCCAAAAAAGCCAAAAAGCAAAUUGGGGAGAUGUUUCAGGGAAUAAAUGCAAGCGUGAGGACCUCAGUUCAAAUCCCCAGAAUCGCGCUAAAGAGUCAGAUGUGGCUCUGCACCCAUGACGCAGGGUGGUGAGGCGUGUAGACAGGAGGACCACCAGCCUAGCUCCAGGUCCUUGAGACGCUGGCUUAAGGGAAUCAGACAGAUGUACGUCCAAGAGAUCUCACAUCCUCUGGAUCUGGCCUCUGAGGGUAUCGCUUUAAAGUGCACAUGCCCACACACAGACACACCCAUACACACAUAAUCAAAAAUUUAAAACUAAUAUUUUAAAUAUUACAAGAACUGAGCCAUAGGGAUGGCUCAGUGGUUCAGAAUACUUGCAGCUGGGUGGUGGUGGUGCAUGCCUUUAACCCCAGCACUCAAGAAGCAGAGACCAGCAGAUCUCUGUGAGUCUGAGGCCAGCCUGGUCUACAGAGCAAGUUCCAGGAUAGGCUCCAAAGCUAUGCAGAGAAACCUUGUCUCGGAAAACAAAACAAAACAAAAUACCGGAAAAGCAUUCCUUGCUCAUACAGAGGGCCCAGGUUCAAUAACCCCAUCUGCAGGGAAUACAACACUUUCUUCUGACCUCCCUGAGCAGCAAGCACACAAUAUACACAUGCAGGCCAAACACUCAUACACAUAAAGUAAAAAAAAAUAAAAUAAAAAUAAAAAAAAAAUUACAAGAACGAAAGCCCUACAAGCCUGUUCAUUAUACAGUUGAGAAAGUGGGAGUCCAGAGAAGUUGUUCAAAGUCACACAGUAGUGAGCAGAAGACAGGGUUAGGACGAGGUCCUCUGACUCGAGGCUUAGACACUAACCCUGAAAAGCUGGGAGGAAGGUAGUUCAGGGGAGGCGGAGAGCAAAGGCUCCCUGGGCAGCCAUAUUCAUGCCCUACUUCAUGGCGAGGCUCUUUGUGCUCAACUGGACUUCAGUUUCCCAAGUGGAGGGCACCAGAGCUUGGUUUACAACAGCCCACCGCAGUAAGCUGAGGCCUUUGAUGUGAACAGCACCCUCCGCCAACGCGGGGGCAUGCCCACUUCCUCCAACAGCCCACACGCACGCUCGGCACAUCGAUUCAUCCUAUGCUCUUGGCACCUCCACUGCCGGCACUCAGAAGUUAGACGUGCAUGGGAUCCAAGCCAGGGCCUCACCCAUGCUAGGCAAGCUGCUCACUGCUAAGUCACACACCCCAGACCGGAGAAAGACUUGAAAAUGUUGUUUGAGCAGUUCGUAGCAGUAAACAAUGCCUGCUCCUGCUUUUCAAGGAAUUACCCAAUAAGCUGGGUGGAUAAAGCAGACAUUGUUUUGGACGUUGGAGAGGCACCAACUUCACGCCACACUCCGGGGUGCCUGAGGCAAAGCACUGUCCAAAAGUUCUUAAGGACGGACAGCGAUAAAUGCAGUCCACAAAUACACAGCAUCCAAGAAACUGAUCUUAAGCCUGAAUUAUUUAGCUGUCUCGGUUUCUCCCUGCAUCGUGACUGCAAGGGAAGCAGGUGAUACAGGCUGCAUCAUUCAUUCACCAAGUCUUUUUUUUUAAAACAACAAAACAAAACAAAAAUGUAUUAUUAUUAUUAGUGAUGUGCUCGUGUAUAAAUGUGCCAAAGCCCAGAUGUGGAACUGAGAGGCCGAUCUGUGCCUCCGUUGUCUUCUCCUCCCUUUUCUGUGAGUUCCUAGGAUUAUCAGGCUUGUGAGGCAAAUUUACCUUUAUCUUACUAGGCCGUCAAUAAGAAAUUUAAAAAAUAAAGAAAGAAAGAAAAAAGAAAAAAAAAUAAGAAAUUUAAAAAUUGCGAUUAUGACUGGUGGUGACGUUUGUUUGUUUGCCUGGUUUAGAUGAGGUCUCAUUACAUAGCCCUGACUCUUAAAACUCCCUAUUUAGGCCAGGCUGGCCUUGAACUCACAGAGACCCAUCUGCAUCUGCCUCCCCAGUGCCAGGAUUAAAUGUGUCACCACGACCCUGCUAAAAUACUUUCCAGGUUUUAUAGACAGAGCCUGCCUACUCCCUGCAUAAUCUUAUCAUAAUCUUGUCCAGCAGUGGAAUAUAGUCCAACCUGUGUCAUUUCUAACAGACAGAUGCGGAGCCACAACAGCAGGCAGCUGAAACACAUCUGCCCAAGAGAGUCGGAAGCAACAAAAAGUAAAAUAUAAAAUAUUUCCUUUCUUGGGCUGGGGAUGUUGCUCAAUUGUGGAGUGCCUGCCCCAGGUUGCAUCCCCAGUGCCACAUAAACCAGGCACAGUAGAGGACAUCUGUAAUCCCAGUGGUCAGGAAAUAGAGGAAGGAUAUCCAACCACUAUGUACUAAGUUCAAGGCCAGCCUGUGCUACACGAGACUGCCAGAGAGGGAUAUAUAUCUAUAUAUAUAUGUGUGUGUGUGUGUGUGUGUAUCUUUUAAUAGAAAGAUAAUCUCGACCUCAGUAAUUCUGGUUCCAGAGUCGUCCCCCUCCCCACAGUCUUCCCACAUCUGCUGGGACACAGAUGUGCUCUGGCACAUACACAAAUGCAUAUAAAUAGAAAUAAAAUACAUUUUAGAAAUAAAUUAAUAAUUUAAGAGCACUAAACUGUUCCCUUUCACCCACGUCUCUUAUGAAAGAAUAUGACACACAAGAUGGCAUUCCAGCCGGGCGGUGGUGGCGCACGCCUUUAAUCCCAGCACUUGGGAGGCAGAGGCAGGUGGAUCUCUGGGAGUUCGAGGCCAGCCUGGUCUACAGAGCUAGUUUCAAGACAGCCAGGGCUCUCGAAAAAACAAGAAAAAAAACCAUAAACAACAAACAAAAAAAGGUUGGUUAUCUGUCUAUAAAGCGAUUUUAUUUCUGUGAAUGAGUUUGAGGAAGGAAGUGCAUUGGACAUCACGGACUACGUUUCCUCCGUUCUAGACUGUUGAAUGUUUUCUUGUUUAUGGUGGGGUCUCAUACUGCCCAGGCUGGCUUCAAACUCUGUUAUGUAGUUCAGGAUGACUGAGAACUCAGUAUCUCCUGCACCUCUGGAUUCUGGGAUUCCGCUACUAAGGGACAGAGUAUGUCAAAGUGACUUUUCAAGCUCUCUGGUCCCUCCAUCAUUCAGAAAUGCUUUGCAGGACAAAAAAAAAAAAAAAAAAAAAAAAAAAAACACCAAC